UCAACGGAAUGGCGAUAUGCCUAUCAGUGGAUGGCUCGGUUCGAGUGCCGAAGAAGGGCGUGCCAAGCUGCGAUAAGCUCCGGGAAGACGCAUGGAGUCUACGAUCCGGAGAUUCCCUAAUGAGACUUCUUAACACUUCGGUGUUGAUCCGUAAGGAUCGGGAACCCCCCGAAUUGAAACAUCUUAGUAGGGGGAGGAAAAGAAAUCAACCGAGAUGUCGUUAGUAGAGGCGAUCGAACACGACAGAGUUCAAACUGAAUCCCGCAAGGGAGAUGUGGUGUAGUAAGCCUACCAUCUGGAUGCCAAGGUCAAACGGAAAUCCUCUGGAAUGAGGUGCCAAAGAGGGUGAUAGCCCCGUACGUGCAAGCUGAGGUGUCCUGGUAGUGUCUUGAGUACCGCGGGUCGGAAUUCUCGCGGGAAUCUGGGGGUCAUCAACCUCCAAAACUAAAUACUACUCGAAACCGAUAGCGUAUUAGUAGCGUGAGCGAAGGCUGAAAAGUAACCCUUGAAAGGUGGUUAAAAGCGCCUGAAACUGAUAGGUGAUAGUGAGUUACGGCGCGAAAGGAUCUUCCACGUGAAGGAACCCGUCGCGAGGCGGUAGUACGGGCGUGGUUGCCGGUGUCGUAACGUACGUUUUGAAGAACGGGCCAGAGAGUUUAUUCUGUAGGCGAAGGUUAACCCAAAAGGGGAGCCGAAGGGAAACCAACAGGUCCGUAGCCUUCGGGCAUGGGACGGCGUAUUAAAAGUGCGUGGAGUCUGCAGGAUAAGACCCGAAGCCUAGCGAUCUAUGCGUGGGCAGGUUGAAGCGUGCCGAAAGGCGCGUGGAGGACCGCAAGCGGUUUUGAUAUGCAAAUCAUUCGUGUGACCUGCGUAUAGGAGUGAAAGAUUAAUCGAGCUGGGCAUCCGCUGGUUCCUCUCGAAACAUGCCGUAGCAUGACCUGGCUGGAGAUAGACGGUGAGGUAGAGCACUGAUUGGGGGAGCUGGGGGAGAAAUCCCUCACCCUCCUGUCAAACUCCAAAUUCCCCGUCGUCGAAGAAGGCUGGCAGUCCGGACUACGGGGUAAGCUUGUAGUCCGUAAGGGAGACAACCCAGACCGUGGUUAAUGUCCCUCAAUGUAGGCUAAGUGUCAACACUGAAAGGCGUCCCAGGCCAAAGACAACUGGAAGGUGAGCUCAGAAGCAGCUAUCCUUUAAAAAGUGCGUAACAGCUUACCAGUCGAGGUUUGGGGCACUGAAAAUGGACGGGGCUAAAGCCUACUACAGAUACCACGGACCACACUUUCGUGUGAUGGCGUAGAGAGGCGUGCUGCCUGGGCAGAAGCAGGGGCGUGAGCUCCUGUGGACCGGGUAGUAUUGAGAAUUCUGGCAUUAGUAGAAGCAAAGUUGGGUGAGAAUCCCAACCGCCGGAGGGGCUAGGUUUCCUCGGCAAUGUUCGUCAGCCGAGGGUUAGUCGGUCCUAAGAUGUGUCGUAAUUCGAGCACGUCAACAGGGAAACAGGUUAAUAUUCCUGUACCAUUCAUCCGUAGCAGUUUACUGCCCUGACGCUUCGGGAUAUGCCGGGCAGGGUCGUCGCCCUGUCCAAGCGUUCAAGCUCGUGGAGUACCGCCAUGGUGAGAAGCGAGUGAAGGCGUGAUGGAGUAAUUCGGCAAAUUCCUGGAGCCCGUGAAAAGGGGGAUGAAUGUCCGUACCGAGAUCUGACACAGGUGCCCCUAGCUGAAAAGGCUAAGGCGUGUCGGUUUAAUCGUGUUAAGGGAACUCGGCAAAUUGGCCCCGUAACUUUGGGAUAAGGGGUGCCUGCCUGGCGAUCAGGCAGGUCGCAGUGACCAGGGGGCUCUGACUGUCUAAUAACAACAUAGGUGACUGCAACUCGGAAACGACUAGUAUAGUCACUGAUUCCUGCCCAGUGCGAGUAUCUGAACACCGGGUUCAACCGGACGAAGGACUCGUAAACGGCGGGGGUAACUAUGACCCUCUUAAGGUAGCGUAGUACCUUGUCGCUUAAUUGGCGACUUGCAUGAAUGGAUUAACGAGAGCCCUACUGUCCCUAACACGAAGCCGUUGAACAUUUUAUCCUAGUGCAGAGACUAGGGACUCCAGAUGGGAAGUGAAGACCCCGUGGAGCUUUACUGCAGCCUGUCGCUGUGUUACGGUAUUCCUUGCGCAGCGUAGAUGGGAGGCGUCGAUCCACCCCUUCCGGGGGGUGGGGAGCCAACAAUGAGACACCAUCCUUGGUUUACUGUAACACUAACUCAAACCUGAGGACAACGAUAGGUAGGCAGUUUGGGUGGGGCGCCACACCCUCGAAAAAAUAUCAAGGGUGCCCUAUGGUCAACUCAUGUGAGUCAGAAACUCACAGGAGAGUGUCAAGAGCAUAAGUUGGCCUGACGCGAUUUCGCAUAGCAAGAAAUCGCGAGAGGAAACUCGGGUCUAACGAACCAAUGAGCCUUAUUGAUGAGGGCCAUUGACGACAGAAAAGCUACCCCGGGGAUAACAGAGUCGUCGCCGGCAAGAGCACAUAUCGACCCGGCGGCUUGCUACCUCGAUGUCGGUUCUUUCCAUCCUGGCCGUGCAGCAGCGGCCAAGGGUGAGGUUGUUCGCCUAUUAAAGGGGAUCGUGAGCUGGGUUUAGACCGUCGUGAGACAGGUCGGUUACUAUCUAUCUGGAGUGUAAGGAGUCUGAAGGUAAGAUGGAAAUAGUACGAGAGGAACUUUCCGUCGUCGCCUCUGGUCGAUCGGUUGUCCGACAGGGCAGUGCCGAGCAGCUACGCGAUAAGGGAUAAAAGCUGAAAGCAUCUAAGCUUGAAACCUGACCCGAAAAGAGACUCCGUUGAGGACACGGGUAAAAGACCCGCUUGAUAGGUCCGGGAUGUAAGCACGAAGGCAACGACGUGUUCAGUCCGCGGAUACUAACGUCCGAUGCCUUCCGUUGA
rnacentral:rRNA from 19 species